CCAAGCAGGUGGUGUUGUAUGAUGAACCUACCGCUGGGCUUGAUCCAAUUGCAUCUACUGUUGUCGAAGAUCUCAUCCGCUCUGUCCACAUGAAAGGUCAUGAUGCAGAGGCUAAACCAGGGAAUAUUGCAUCUUAUGUAGUUGUCACUCACCAACACAGUACCAUAAGAAGAGCUGUUGAUAGGUUAUUGUUUCUCCAUGAGGGGAAAAUCGUCUGGCAAGGGAUGACUCAUGAAUUUACUGAAUCAACAGAUCCAAUUGUUAGACAGUUUGCAUCCGGAAGCUUAGAUGGGCCGAUUAAGUACUUAUGACUAAUAUACAGCCUGUGCAUGCAAUUUGUAUCAUUCACUGUUCAUGAGCUGUUGGGUGCCAAUUUACUUCAUGAAUUCAGUCUUUAGGACGGAGGUCAGAUGGAUGCUUCUUUUCCCUCCCCUAAUGCCACGUUUGCUGCCUCUCGUAAGGGAAUAGUGUACAAAUUUUCGAUGCAUGCUCCUAGCAAAAAUAUAUAGUUCAUGUCCCCGACUUUGAGGAGAAUCAUAUUCUUUGAGCCAGUGGCAGACCGAAGUUGAUGGAUUUGAGUUGCAUGGUUAGAUGCUUAUGAGGUGAGCACAGUUUUGAUUCUUCUUUUAGGUAUUUGUUCUGUAAUCUUUUUUCAUUGGGGGAGGAGGUCCCGUGGGAGCCCAGUGGAGGAAAUUGAAAAAGAUUUGGGGGAAGCUGCUAUGAUUUGUAUUACAUAAAUGUACAUUUUACAGAGCUGUAACUCAAAUCUUCAUACUGAAUAUCAUUCUCUCA